rnacentral:lncRNA from 1 species
ACAUUUUAUUUAAAUCACCAACGUUUGCUUUUAGAUUUCUUGAGGUAUUUAUUUCAUAUGCAACGAAUCUUCUAAGAAUAUAAACACUAUUGGGGCUCUUAUUAGCAUAUAAAUCAUCUAGCUUAUCUCAAACUUCCCAAGGCAAUUGUGGAAGUAUUUACCUGCCCAGAGAAGUUAUUUGAAGUUGUUGAAUGAUUGAUUUAUUGGAUACCUCCAAAAUCUCAGCCUCCAUGCUCAACCUGUUAUUGCAUCAAUGUCGCCUUUUUUCUUCGAAAAAGAUAAUAUAUUCUUUCAUGUCAGACUUCUUUGAGUCCAACCUACAUAACAAGUUGUGAACAAAUUAUUGAAUGCAACCAUAGAGUAGCUCCUCAAAGGAUUCUUUUUUAGAGCAAGAAGACUUAACAUACAUCGAGAUCUCGACCUUGGAUGCUCUUUCAAUAGAAGAAUCUUCGAGAUCUCAACUACAAAACUCAGUGCAUAGAAAAAUGAUACAGAUCUGAUGUCAUUGAUGGUAAUACAUGUUUAAACCACAAUCAAGGAACCAAAACCAUCCCUGAAACCACUUCAAAUCCGAAAAAAUCGAAAACCAAAAACUUUUCCACCCUAAUCACCGUACAAAAUAACAAUCCGAUCUACACAAAGACCAAGCUGAAAUCCAAACCCCUAAAAUUGCAUUUUAAACCCUUGUCUAGAAAUUGCACAAAUGAACCGAAAAUUCCAAAAAUAUAGAAGAUGGCCCACCUUCACCAAAUCACAACGAGUCCUUAGGUUGCAAAUCUUCGCCUCUUUUCAGGUCACAUGAUCAGUGUUGACUAUUGCAUCAACAAAUUCGUGUGAUCUGUAUCGAUCCUUGUAGAUUUACGUGGAUCCAUUCAUGCAUUACAGCCAUAGUAGGCCUAUGACUUCGAACCCCAAGUUUUGUACAAUGGAACAAGAUUGUGUUCAAAACAAGAUCGAGUAUAGAGAUACAUAUAUAUGUUGGUAGUAGUGGUGGUUCAAAUCUUUAAGGGUGGCGAUACGUUGUUGUGAUGGUGGUGGUGGUGGUGGUGGGAUUGAGGGAUAGAAGAGUGUGUGUGUGUGUG